rnacentral:siRNA from 1 species
UCGAGUGCCUCUACGAGACCGG